AACGAACGCUGGCGGCAUGCCUAACACAUGCAAGUCGAACGAGACCUUCGGGUCUAGUGGCGCACGGGUGCGUAACGCGUGGGAACCUGCCCUUAGGUUCGGAAUAACUCCCCGUAAGGGGUGCUAAUACCGGAUAAUGUCUUCGGACCAAAGAUUUAUCGCCUUUGGAUGGGCCCGCGUUGGAUUAGCUAGUUGGUAGGGUAAAAGCCUACCAAGGCGACGAUCCAUAGCUGGUCUGAGAGGAUGAUCAGCCACACUGGGACUGAGACACGGCCCAGAAUCCUACGGGAGGCAGCAGUGGGGAAUAUUGGACAAUGGGCGAAAGCCUGAUCCAGCAAUGCCGCGUGAGUGAUGAAGGCCUUAGGGUUGUAAAGCUCUUUUACACGGGAUGAUAAUGACAGUACCGGGAGAAUAAGCUCCGGCUAACUCCGUG
rnacentral:rRNA from 1 species